UCCGGCUUAACGCCGGCAGUCUCCUUAGAGUGCCCAACUGAAUGGUGGCAACUAAGAACGAGGGUUGCGCUCGUUGCGGGACUUAACCCAACAUCUCACGACACGAGCUGACGACAGCCAUGCACCACCUGUGAAGGUGUCCCGAAGGAAAACCGUGUUUCCACGGUGGUCACCUACAUGUCAAGCCCAGGUAAGGUUCUUCGCGUUGCGUCGAAUUAAACAACAUGCUCCGCUGCUUGUGCGGGUCCCCGUCAAUUCCUUUGAGUUUUAGCCUUGCGGCCGUACUCCCCAGGCGGGGUGCUUAACGCGUUAGCUACGGCACCGCGGGGGUCAAAACCCACGACACCUAGCACUCAUCGUUUACGGCGUGGACUAC
rnacentral:misc_RNA from 1 species